UACGGAGGUGCAAGCGUUAUCCGGAUUUACUGGGUUUAAAGGGUGCGUAGGUGGGCAGGUAAGUCAGUGGUGAAAUCUCCGAGCUUAACUCGGAAACUGCCAUUGAUACUAUCUGUCUUGAAUAUCCUGGAGGUAAGCGGAAUAUGUCAUGUAGCGGUGAAAUGCUUAGAUAUGACAUAGAACACCAAUUGCGAAGGCAGCUACUACGGGAUAUUGACACUGAGGCACGAAAGCGUGGGGAUCAAACAGG
rnacentral:rRNA from 1 species